rnacentral:rRNA from 1 species
GACGAACGCUGGCGGCGUGCUUAACACAUGCAAGUCGAACGGAAAGGCCCUGAGUUUGUGGGGCGCUCGAGUGGCGAACGGGUGAGUAACACGUGAGUAACCUGCCCUUGACUUUGGGAUAACUUCAGGAAACUGGGGCUAAUACCGGAGAGGAGCUACUGCUGCAUGGUGGGGGUUGGAAAGAUUCGGUGGUUGGGGAUGGACUUGCGGGUUAUCAGCUUCUUGGGGGGGUAGUGGAUGACCAAGUGUUUGACGGGUAGCCGGCCUGGGCGGGUUCACGGCCUCGUUGGGCCUGGGCGCGGCCCCAGACUGCUACGUGAGGCAGAAGGGGGACACCUUGCACAAUGGGGUCAAGCCUGAUGUGGUCAUGCCGCGUUCGGGAUGACGGCCUUUGGGUUAUAAACCGCUUUCGCCUGUGACGAACCGUGAUUGACGGUAAUGGGUCAAGAAGCACCGGCUAACUACGUG